AGCAGCAGCCGCGGUAAUACGUAGGUGGCAAGCGUUGUCCGGAAUUAUUGGGCGUAAAGCGUGCGCAGGCGGUUCGUUAAGACAGAUGUGAAAUCCCCGGGCUUAACCUGGGAACUGCAUUUGUGACUGGCGAGCUAGAGUAUGGCAGAGGGGGGUAGAAUUCCACGUGUAGCAGUGAAAUGCGUAGAGAUGUGGAGGAAUACCGAUGGCGAAGGCAGCCCCCUGGGCCAAUACUGACGCUCAUGCACGAAAGCGUGGGGAGCAAACAGGAUUAGAUACCCCAGUAGUCCCUGUCUCUUAUAC
rnacentral:rRNA from 1 species